rnacentral:lncRNA from 1 species
UUGUCUAUAGUCAUUUGGUUCCAGAAGUGUGUUUAUUUUCAACAUCUUCAACAUCACCAUAUCUAUCAUCUUUGUCACAAGGCCCUCAACAACAGGCCUAAAAUCACACAGACUCAGGUGGGGAGAUGCAACUUCAUUUUUCAAUCACCUAUAAAAAUCAUCUCUUACCCUCCUUCAAGCAAAAGAAUUAUCAAAAGCAGCCGAAGUAAUCGCCCUCGAAAACUCCUGAAAAUUAAUCCGACCAUCCCCAUCCGUAUCCGCCUCCUUGAUCAUCCCCGUCAACUCCUCAGCGGUCAACGCGUGUCCCAGCUUCGCCAUGGAAUGCGCCAACUCAGCCGCAGUAAUAAACCCAUUCCCAUCCCUAUCAAACAUCUUAAACAACUGCUUCAACUGAUCAUCCGUAUAAGGCGACUUCGCAGGCAGAAGCUCGGGCGCCACAAGCGCCACAAACUCCGAAAACUCCACAAAACCAUUACUAUUAGUAUCCGCUUUCUGUAUCAAUGCGUCAAGUUGAUCAGGGCUCGGUGUAAGGCCUAAUGAUCGUAACAACGAACCCAGUUCGAGUUGCGUGAGGCUGCCGUCGUUGUUUCGGUCGAAUGAUCUGAAGAUUUCGCGGAGUUCGGUUAGCUGUUCGUCGUCGAGUUUGACCGUUUGUUGCUGUUGUUGUUGUUGUUGUCCGGAGCUCAUUGUUGUAUGGAAAUUCAUUGGUAAUUUUAGAACUUCAUGGGAAUAUUUGGAGAAACAAUUAGUUGAAUUUAGGAAGAGAUGAGUUUGUAUGUCAUGGCUGAUGAAUUUUGGAGGCAAUUUUAUGGGAAAAAUUUCAAAGAUGUUAAGUGUUAUAAUAAAGAACGGACAAAAUAUUAA